rnacentral:rRNA from 1 species
AUACGGAGGAUGCGAGCGUUAUCCGGAUUUAUUGGGUUUAAAGGGAGCGUAGGUGGGAUAUUAAGUCAGCUGUGAAAGUUUGGGGCUCAACCUUAAAAUUGCAGUUGAUACUGGUUUCCUUGAGUACGGUAUAGGUGGGCGGAAUUCGUGGUGUAGCGGUGAAAUGCUUAGAUAUCACGAAGAACUCCGAUCGCGAAGGCAGCUCACCGGGCCGGAACUGACACUGAUGCUCGAAAGUGGGGGUAUCAAACAGGAUUAGAUACCCUGGUAGUCCGCACAGUAAACGAUGAAUACUCGCUGUUUGCGAUACACUGUAAGCGGCCAAGCGAAAGCGUUAAGUAUUCCACCUGGGGAGUACGCCGGCAACGGUGAAACUUAAAGGAAUUGACGGGG